rnacentral:rRNA from 1 species
UACGGAGGGCGCAAGCGUUGUUCGGAAUUACUGGGCGUAAAGCGCGUGUAGGCGGUUCUGCAAGUCGGUUGUGAAAUCCCCGGGCUCAACCCGGGAACUGCAUCCGAAACUGCAGGGCUAGAGUUCCGGAGAGGAAGGCAGAAUUCCCAAUGUAGGGGUGAAAUCCGUAGAUAUUGGGAGGAAUACCAGUGGCGAAGGCGGCCUUCUGGACGGUGACUGACGCUGAGACGCGAAAGCGUGGGGAGCAAACAGGAUUAGAUACCCUGGUAGUCCACGCCGUAAACGGUGCGCACUAGGUGUCGGGGGUAUUCACCCCUCCGGUGCCGUAGCUAACGUUUUAAGUGCGCCGCCUGGGAAGUACGGCCGCAAGGCUAAA